UUUUGUAGAACCCCAAAUAAUUCUAAACACUUUAGUGGCACUAAGACAUGAAUAUUGGAUGACUAAAGUAUACUUCAGAUUUUUAGUCUCAUUUGAGACCCAUUUUCGACAUAGGAAACAUUCGAUUUGGAAAAUGAUAUCUAAAUAAAAGUUGUAGCUCUUUGAGUUAGCUUUUCAACGCACUUUGAAUUACCUCAAUCGGAUAUCGAAAGAAGAAGUUAUGAUAGAAACACUGAAAGCUAUGCAGUGUCAACCGGACUACAAC
rnacentral:lncRNA from 1 species